UGAUUGUUGAAUAAAAUACUGUUUGGCCAAUGAGAUAGCAAGUUAGAUGGGACUGGAAGUCAGGGAGGUUUCUGGGAAAUGUAGUAGAGAAGUGAUGAUCUAGGCAGGAAGUGACAUAGCAAGGAGACUCAUAUUUAAGCGAAGGAGAAACAGGAAGGGCCCUCUUUCCAGUUCACCUCCUCCAGCGGAACAAUGUGAUCCCUGACAAGGAGGGACACCAAUAAGGCAUCCGAUAAGGGAGAGAAGUCCUGGCUUUAUCUCAUAGUGCAGUGGAAUGAGACAUGGGGACAGCAGCUACAGACUGAAGAUCACAUUAUCUUUACAGCAUCACAUAGAUGCAGUAAAAAUAGUUGUACCCAUAAAGAAGAAAAUGGGAAAAUUUCAAUGGGACACCAAUUGGCUAAACUCAUCAAAUAAGAACCAUAGGGAGCUACUCAACACCAGCUCCCUAAUUCUAGGAGUGAAAUAACACACCACUGAUACAAUUCUGAUCCUCGUGUUUCCUAGGCAAGUCGUUUAAUCACUGAGACAUCUCACCUAAUUCUACCUCUGUCCCUCAAAUGUAAGUCAUAGAGCUUGUUGGCACAAGGAGACCCAUCACUCUGAC
rnacentral:lncRNA from 1 species